UUAAAUUCAAUAUUUAUUGCAUAAUUAACUAAAUUUAAAGUACAAAAUACAGGAAAAUCUGUUAUAUUAUGAUUACAACCUGAAGGCACAGAAUUUUGAUUAAGGCAAAUUAUAAUAAUCGGCGAGGGACGUUUGAGCUUUUUCAUAGGACAUUUGCGCUUUUAUUUUUGGACACUUGUGCUUUAAAUCAUAGGACAUUUGCACUUUUGUAAUAUUUGGUUUUAGAAUAAAGGAGGACCACCUCUUUUAUCCGGGCUUGGGAACGGCAGGUUUGACCUUGUAGAGUUAAAAGUUUAAAACUCACUGCUUAGCACAUUUCUUAGCACAUUGAUAUAUGUUAAAAGUUUAUAUACAGCUGAAACUAGUAAUGAAAACAUUCUUAAGACAUGUUAACAUGUACAGUCAUCACAGGUCAGUUUUCACUUGAUAUCUAAAGCCAAAGGACUGAAAAAAAAAAUAGCUCUUGUUAAUAUCUGUUCUGACUGGAAUUUCUCCCAUAUUUCAAAUAAAUAAUCAUGCUUCUCAAUUCUGGGGUGCCUGUUCAUCAAUAUAACAAAUUGUAAUGUAAUUAACCGACUGUUGUUAAAUGAUACUCUUCAAAAAGAAAAAAAUAUUUGCAGAAUGAGUGGGCAUGGAAGGAUUCUGCACCAUUUGUCAUUUUUAUAAUGAAAAAUAUAAGUUAAAUUCAUCUACAUAAUAUACCUUCUCCUUAAAAUUACAGGUGGACAACGAUAGGUAAAAAGUGCAAAUGUCAGGUCAAUUGAAUACAGGUGAUUCAAAAUUUAAAGUGCAAAUGUCCAUAGUAUUUGAAGCGCAAAUGUCCUAUCGUUUUACAGGUAAAAAAGCGCAAACGCCCUGUGCCCAUAAUAAUACAGUUAACCUCCUUAUACUCAGUAAACUUUCAAUUUCAUAGAUUCAAAUAUUUUUGUUUCUUUGUAAACAAUUCUAAUUUGCUAUUCUGUUGAUACUAAUAGCCAUACUUAAAUUUUAUGGUUUUCUUUUCUCUGCAGAAUCAAGAAAACAACAUAUGUGUGCUUAUUUGGGGAAGACAACUCCCAAUCAUCUAAAUACCUUAUGAAAUCUAAAAUGCCAUAGGGCAAGGGAAAGAAAAGGAUCUUUACUCCUCUCAGUGUGAUAAAAUAUAUUUACUGUCCAGUCUAAAAGAGAUUCACUGUAUAAAAAAUAUUUGUUAAAACAUAAAUAUUUGGAAAAUCGAUUUGUACAAAAGUAG
rnacentral:lncRNA from 1 species